GACGAACGCUGGCGGCGUGCUUAACACAUGCAAGUCGAGCGAUGAAGCUCCUUCGGGAGUGGAUUAGCGGCGGACGGGUGAGUAACACGUGGGUAACCUGCCUCAUAGAGGGGAAUAGCCUUCCGAAAGGAAGAUUAAUACCGCAUAAGAUUGUAGUGCCGCAUGGCAUAGCAAUUAAAGGAGUAAUCCGCUAUGAGAUGGACCCGCGUCGCAUUAGCGAGUUGGUGAGGUAACGGCUCACCAAGGCGACGAUGCGUAGCCGACCUGAGAGGGUGAUCGGCCACAUUGGGACUGAGACACGGCCCAGACUCCUACGGGAGGCAGCAGUGGGGAAUAUUGCACAAUGGGGGAAACCCUGAUGCAGCAACGCCGCGUGAGUGAUGACGGUCUUCGGAUUGUAAAGCUCUGUCUUCAGGGACGAUAAUGACGGUACCUGAGGAGGAAGCCACGGCUAACUACGUGCCAGCCGCCGCAGUAAGAC
rnacentral:rRNA from 1 species